GACAGAGGGUGCAAACGUUGCUCGGAAUUACUGGGCGUAAAGGGCGUGUAGGCGGGAAGGCAAGUCGGGCGUGAAAGCCCCAGGCUCAACCUGGGAACUGCACUCGAAACUGCCUUUCUUGAGUGCCGGAGAGGAAAGCGGAAUUCCUGGUGUAGAGGUGAAAUUCGUAGAUAUCAGGAGGAACACCAGUGGCGAAGGCGGCUUUCUGGA
rnacentral:rRNA from 1 species